rnacentral:rRNA from 1 species
GAUGAACGCUGGCGGCGUGCCUAACACAUGCAAGUCGAACGCUCGCAAGAGAGUGGCGCACGGGUGAGUAACACGUAGCUAAUCCGCCCUCAAGACAAGGAUAACUGUAGGAAACUACUGCUAAUACUUGAUAAGCUUACGGACUGUAGAGGUCUAUAAGAAAGAUUUAUCGCUUGAGGAUGAGGCUGCGCGCCAUCAGCUAGUUGGUGAGGUAAUGGCUCACCAAGGCGACGACGGCUAGGGGACCUGAGAGGGUGA